rnacentral:rRNA from 1 species
AGAGUUUGAUCCUGGCUCAGAUUGAACGCUGGCGGCAGGCCUAACACAUGCAAGUCGAGCGGUAACAGAUUGAUAGCUUGCUAUCAAUGCUGACGAGCGGCGGACGGGUGAGUAAUGCCUGGGAAUAUACCCUGAUGUGGGGGAUAACUAUUGGAAACGAUAGCUAAUACCGCAUAAUCUCUUCGGAGCAAAGAGGGGACCUUCGGGCCUUCCGCGAUUGGAUGAACCUAGGUGGGAUUAGCUAGUUGGUGAGGUAAUGGCUCACCAAGGCGACGAUCCCUAGCUGUUCUGAGAGGAUGAUCAGCCACACUGGGACUGAGACACGGCCCAGACUCCUACGGGAGGCAGCAGUGGGGAAUAUUGCACAAUGGGGGAAACCCUGAUGCAGCCAUGCCGCGUGUGUGAAGAAGGCCUUCGGGUUGUAAAGCACUUUCAGUAGGGAGGAAAGGUAGCAGCUUAAUACGCUGUUGCUGUGACGUUACCUACAGAAGAAGGACCGGCUAACUCCGUGCCAGCAGCCGCGGUAAU